rnacentral:misc_RNA from 1 species
UCUCUGUUGCCCCUCGUCGUCAGCCGCCCGCCAGUGGGCACCACGCCUAUUUCCUUGUGGUGUUUUGUUUUGCCCGUCGUGUUUCGUCUACGGUGUCGGUGAUUCAUCUGUUGUGAUCGCGCAAUCGCUCGGACACCGCCGUUGCCAAUGUCAUGUACUGGGUGUAGUUCAAAGUUCGGACUCCUCACGAGAGAGCACUCCUGUCCCAAUUGCCAAUUCUCGUACUGCGCCAAAUGCCUAAAAUCGUCCGUGCUCGUACCGAAGUUGGGAAAGCAGCACAAAGUUUGCAAGACGUGCUUUGAGACUCUCAGCAGGACUACUGCUAGCAAAACAGAGGAAAGAGAAGCGCCUGCUGCCCUGCAAAAGCGAAUGGACGCACUGAACAAGCAGCAGCCGCAAGCCGACAACUCCGCUCCUCGCGGAGGUGGUUCCCCUCUACAGAUAGAGGAGAUUGAGAGCCGGUUAAAGAAGCUGCGUCAGGACAGCAAAGGUGUCAUUCCAAUUCAAGCCGACAUAGAGGAAAGACUCGCAAAGCUCAAAGAAGUUGAUGUCUCUUACUAUCGUCAGGCUCCAAUCACGGUGUAUGCAACAGAUGCAGAUAAAGCAAGCAGCCUCUUCGCUGAAGUGAUGCACAAGGUGGCCAUUGACAGGCGUCGGGCCCAGGUUAUAAAAGCAACCACUGAUGAAAUGGAACAGCGUCUCGAACGCCUGCGUGGACUUAGCAGAGAUUCCAUGGAUUCAACCCCUCAGGACACAAAAGACGAACCAUCAUCCGAUGCUGGUGGUGGUCCCCUUGCUACAACAGCGCCAACAGAUCUUCACCAGUCCAUGCAGAGAGCGAGCGAUGGCAAGGAGGAGCCGCCAAUAGAUGAAGUGGCACGGCUAAUUGGCGAGGAGCUUAAGGCGGCAGCGGAGUCAGCAAAAAAGGGUCUGCAAGAACUUCAGAAGGACAAAGAGCUCAUGAGGGAGCUUGGCCAGAUCAAGGCCAAGAAAGCGGGUAAAAAAAAGGAGGAAGAUGGCGGAUCCGAUUCAGACGACAGCACAGAGGCGGACGCUGUUGUGGCCAAGGCUCUUGAAGAAGCAAAACUCGAGGAACUCGAAGAUUUGCAAGAGCUGGGCUUGGACCAAGGCGGUGAGGUUGGAAGCUGAGGAGCUUCCCUGGUGCGUAAUCUGCAAUGAAGACGCCACCCUGCGCUGUCAUGGCUGCUCUAAUGACCUUUACUGCCGCCGCUGCUACAAGGAAUUCCACGACUCUGAGCCACAUGUAACAACACUGCUAAAAAAAUAGCAAUGGAGCCACUACUGCAGCUAGAAUACCCCCCACCCUCUGAAGAAAAAUAGAAAGAAAAAGCUUUGGUAGUGACACCAAGAAUGAUUUUCUACGGCGAGGUUACCGAUGCAUAGUCAGCGAGUCAUGCCUCAACACAAGCGACAUCCAUAAUUGCACGCUGUAUGAUAAGAGCUUUAUUGUUGCUUCGCUUGUUGUCUGUUGAAAAAGAAGCGUUCAGUGAUGAAACUGUAUCUGUCCGCAAAAUUGCAUAAACAGUCUGUCAAAUAACAAUGUUGCCUGUC